UCCUAGUAAAGUUUUGAGUCUUAUAAACAACACAUUAACUUAAACAUGGAUUUGAAAGCUAAAUACUAACUAUGAAAGAAUAUAAAUAAUUCUCGAGUUAGUCUCGAAGCUUAGAUCGUCUAACUUAAAAGAAAUUGAAAAUUCAAAUAUUUAAAUAAACAACUAACGAAAUAAAGAGUUAUUUAGAAACUUACAAGGAUUCAUAUAAGUUAGAUAAAAUAAAAGUUAGAAGUUAACAGAAAAUAUCACAAAAUCACGGUAUCAUGAAAACAAAGUGCGAAUAUAACUUGGACAGUUAUAAGUCCACUUUGCUGCUUCUUGUUCGCUGUUUGAUGUUAUUUCCGAACUUCCUAAGUCCGAAAAAUGCUAUUUCCAGCCCUUUGAGGCUGCUGCAAAUCUGCUUUACUUUGAUCAAAUUGACCAAAAUACUAGCUUCCCUUACGCAAUUUUGAUGAAGAUCGACUCAAAUAGAGGAGGAUGCAAGAGAUGGGGAGUCGGUUGGACUCAACUGGAGAAAGUUUAGCAAAACAAUCAAGUAGAAAACUAAUGAAGCUUAAUGAAAAGCAAAUGAUAAAUUCAAUCAAAUAUUAGGAGUUAUGUUCAGGAAGUCAAAACAAUACAUAUGAAGCUACAGAAAGAUAGGACUAUAUGUACUUGCAACUCAAAAUUUCCAGUAAACAAAAGCGUGCAGAAAGUUGUAAAGAAUAAAUAAAUAAGAUAUCUGCCAACUUUUUUCUAAUAUGAUUCAACAUAGAUAAACAAAAAGGCAAGUCCAUCACAUAUAUCUCUCAGCUAAUCCAUUCAAUAAUUGAAUUAAGACUAACUUUUUUCAGAAAACAUUGUUAAAACUGAAGAAACCUAUCCCGUAGAACAAGAACCAGGUUCUUGUAAGUUGGUUUAAGUCAGAACACAAACACUUGUUAAAUUAAAAACCUUCCUCAAUGAAGGAAGGAAAAACCUCGUUUUAUUAAAUCAACUAGAUGAUUUUUUAUGAUCACAACUCAAUAAUCAAUAACCUCACCACUACAACAACUCUCGAUUAACUAGUUAAAACAAUAACACUAGAUUGUAACUAAAUUAAUCCCAAGUAACAUAGAAAAGGAAUUAAACCAUAAAUCUAGCAGGUGCAAGAUAGUUGAACUAAUCUACACAAAACAUGAGAUGUGUAGGACUACAAAAAAAAAACUAGCAGUUAAUCUCAACAGAUCCAUAUAUGUUUAAAGAUAAACGAAUUUAAAUGCAAUUUGAUCAAAGUUUUAACCAAUUUUAAUUUAUUUUAUAAGAAAAACGAACAGAGACAAGGAAAAUACUUGAUAAUCUUGCACCAAAAUAAUUUGCCAAAUUCAAACAAGGAUCUCAUUACAGUUAAUCGAUCACAUAAGACAACUUAAGAUCACUCAACAUAUGUUAUUAUUUAAACAGACAAGAGACUUAUGUUUAACCUGGAAAACAGAACAAAAAAUGAGAAUGAACUAACACCAAGGAAGAUCAACGACAAAUAAUAAAUGCAAAGGAUUGCAAUUUAAAGAAGAAAUAACAAAUUUCUACUCUAAAAAAAUUUACUCUAAAAUAUCAAGAGAACUCAAAAAUGACUAAAAAUAUAAUGAACACUUUUCUGUGAACUUUAAAGAAUCUGAAAAAAAUAACAUGCAACACAAGCUUUCUUCUCUAAACUAUUGCCCAAAAUAAGACAUCAAACUUAUACACACAUGGAACAAGACAUUAAAGGAAUAAAACUAAGACAAACUUGAAAGAAAACCUGUACAAACUUCUAUCCAUAUUGUACUUCAAUCAAGACAAAUAAACUUCAACAAGAAACAACUUGUGGCAAAAAACAGAACAAACUUUUGCAACACGACAAAGGAGAAACUUUAGAACUAACGAGGAUCAACAUAGUAUUCUCAGACCAAGCAACCUAAUAUUAAAAAAUACGCCAAUAGCAAGAAAUCUACACAAAUGAAUAUAAGAGGGUUGAGUGAAACAAGAAGCUCGAUUGAAUUGAAAUGCAAGGUGAGAACAUGAAUGGAAGUUAAUCCUAAUAGAACCAAUGAGUGAUAUUAAUUCUAAUUUCUAGGCGGACAGUAGAAAAGUGGAGAACUAACUAUAAGGUCUACACAUAAUGGAGGUACAGAUGAGUCCAACAAGAGGAACACAAAUGCAAAAAAAAAAAACAUAAGAAUUUGUUAAUAACUAGAAAUACAAAUUUAGCUAGGUGAAGCAGGUUUCAUGAAGUUACAAAUUCAAACCAGAUGUUCACAAUGCUAGUCUAUAUUCUCUUCAAAUCAAAGAUGGAAAACAGUUUGUUAACUAGACAAAGAAAGAGAAGAGCUCAGCCUGAGCUAAGACAACUUUUAACCAAAAGAAAGAUAAUCAAACUGCCAACUCUGGAUUGAGACGGACUUAUUCCAUAUGAAGAAACCGAUAAUACAGUAAGCAACAAAUUUUGAAAGAAGAACAGGAACCAGAAAAUGAUUCAAAUAGAGGAGGGGAACAAGAACAUAUCUCGACUACAAUAAUUCAAAUUACGUAAGAAUGUAAACUACUUCUACAAGUUUUAAGUGAACAUGAUGAGAAGUUAUUAAAACACAUCUAAACGAGAAAGAAAACAAUCAAAAACAAGUAAUCAUUGGAGGCAACAGAACAACGCAGCCAUCAAACUCAAUGUUGAAACCAAAGACAUAAAAAAUGGGAACUCACAGAAAUGCUGUGAGCUGAGAGAAUAACAAGCUAAGAGGGUCAUACACAUACUAAAAGGAAGCUUAGCAAAUUUUAACACACAAUCUGAUAGGCAGCCCGAAGAUGAACCAAAUAAAAUGAGAAGCACAACAUUCCAAAGACCAUAAGAAGAUUAACAAUGAACAAAGAAAGAACAAAACUCAACACAUUAAUACUACUAAACAAAACAAGAAAGAAACCAUCAACAUUUAAGCUACCAAGGACGUAAUUAAACUGAAGAAGACACGAAAAUAAUUCCUAAACUAAAGUAAUAAUGACCAAACUAAUAGAAUCUGGUAUUUUGAUGAUAGACAAGAAAUGCAAAUACUAAUGCAAUAAUUUUCGUAGCCAAUUAACGCAGUAUCGUAGCCAGUAUUGCAGCCAUCAGUGAAGAUACAAGUUGAUAUAAAUAAGGAAACCUUAAUAUAUUUUAUUAAGUCAGGAAGUUGUAUAUAAAAAGGAUUGUACAAUAAAAGGUAAAAUCAGUACUCCUUGUUUAACUACAAUUACAAUUUCCUUACCUUAUUUGAUAAGGAUUCAAGACGCAAGAAAGCAGCAGGAAUAUCUAUAAAGGGAGAUCAAACGCAGAAGAGCAAAACACGACUUUUACAUAGAGAGAAAAGCUAGAGUUAUUCAUCAAGUAAAAGCCUUCAAGAUCGUUAGGUUUUGCUAAUUUUAAAGAAGUUCUUAAGUUAGAAAGUCUUGAAGAAGUUCUUGAGUUAGAAAGUCUUGAACGUGCAAAACUAUUUUCUUGAUUCAUUGUUGAGUUGGUAGUUAUGUUUUUGUGCAAGAAGUGGGUUUGGCUUUUGUAGAGCUGAGCUUUGGUGAGGUUGUAAUAAAAGGUGGAUUUGGCUUUUGAAAUAGAAGUAGUCGAUUAUAGUUAAUCGAGAGUUGUUGUAGUGGUAAGGUUAUUGAUAACAUAAAAUUAUCUAGUUGAAUUAAUAAAAUGAGGUUUUUCUUCCUUGAUUGAGGAAGGUUUUUAAUUUAACAAGUGUUUGUGUUCUGACUUUAACAAACUUACUUGGAUAAGUUACCUGAUUCUGGGCAGUGAACCGGGACCACAAGUUGAAAAGACGACACUACCUCUUCAACUCCAAAAGCCACACAACAUUUUAAAAUUUUGAACUAUGGAACCAAGAAUUCCCAAAAAAAAUUUGAGUACUCUUUGGACUCCAAAUCCCCCUUUUGAACACUGAAUAAGAAGACUAUUUAUAAGGGUAAAUCGGAAAGGAAAAAAGGGUCUGGAUCGAUGUGGGAGAAUCCCAAAUUCAAAAGCUAUCAUCGUACCAAUUGCCAAAAAAAAUGAAGAGGACCGCUUGAUUAAAAGAGCAAAGGACGAAGGAGGAAUUGUGAUGCAAACACCUGGAUUUUCUCCAAUGGUCUGGUACGACUACGAAUGGAUUAGGACAGACGCGAAGCCACACACGUGAUUUGGAUGCUCAUGAUUGUAGCGUUUCUGAGUUUCUUGUUCGUUGUUGGGUUUUUUCACAUCUAUAAAAGACUCUAGGGUC
rnacentral:lncRNA from 1 species